rnacentral:tRNA from 1 species
UCCUGGGUAGCUUAGUUGGUUAAGCACCUGACUCUUGACCUCUCUUCAGGUCAUGAGCUCACAGUUCAUGGGUUCAAGCCCCAACUUGGGCU